GGGCAGUGCUCUUUCCCGAUACAGAGUCAGCUGCUUGUGACCGAGAAAACAAGCCAAGCCCAGCUCCACAACCUGAGCCAGGGAGAAGAUCCCUGUUCAGCCAAGUUCGUCUGCUGCCUCAUCUGCUUGACUUCCAACAUUUUGGAAUUGCUGGCUACUGUGCCCUUAGGAGGCAACAAUAACAGUGCUCCUGUUUUACAUCUUGAGGCCAUACAGUUUUCUAGGCUGAAAAUCAGCAAAGUGUCAUUGAGGGCUACGUAAAGCUCCAGAAAGAAUUUCUGUCAAAAGUUCUACUGCAGCUGUGAUACUCCUUGCUGUUCACCUUUUUUCAAAAGCAUUUAACAGCUUUCAUCAAGAUCAACAACAGAAAUUUUGUCAAGUCUUUUGAUCUAAUAAACUUAGUCACUGGAGUGGAUCCACAUGGGGAAAUGCACAUACAUAAUCAUGAGAAGAAGAGAAGAAGUUUCUUGAAGGGAUCAUGAUCGAUUUGAUAAACUAAUAUUUAAUCUAAAUAUCUUACUUGCUUUGCAUAGUACUGGCAUUGCCCUGACAUGUUUUGCUCCUGGUACACAUCCAGCAAAAGAACUUUAUUCAUUGUUAGAUGUAUGAAUGCAAUCCAUACAAUUUCAUUG